rnacentral:rRNA from 1 species
UGGGGAAUAUUGGACAAUGGAGGAAACUCUGAUCCAGCAAUUCUGUGUGUGUGAAGAAGGUUUUAGGACUGUAAAACACUUUUAGUAGGGAAGAAAAAAAUGACGGUACCUACAGAAGAAGCAACGGCUAAAUACGUGCCAGCAGCCGCGGUAAUACGUAUGUUGCGAGCGUUAUCCGGAAUUAUUGGGCUUAAAGGGCAUCUAGGCGGUAAGACAAGUUGAAGGUGAAAACCUGUGGCUCAACCAUAGGCUUGCCUACAAAACUGUUGAACUAGAGUACUGGAAAGGUGGGUGGAACUACACGAGUAGAGGUGAAAUUCGUAAAUAUGUGUAGGAAUGCCGAUGAUGAAGAUAACUCACUGGACAGAAACUGACGCUGAAGUGCGAAAGCUAGGGGAGCAAACAGG